GGCUUUAUAUUCAAUUAUGAUUUUAGACUGCAAUUCUAGGGGUGUAAAUAACUUUACUAAGGCCU
rnacentral:tRNA from 6 species